GACGAACGCUGGCGGCGUGCCUAAUACAUGCAAGUUGAGCGAUGAAGAUUGGUGCUUGCACCAAUUUGAAGAGCAGCGAACGGGUGAGUAACGCGUGGGGAAUCUGCCUUUGAGCGGGGGACAACAUUUGGAAACGAAUGCUAAUACCGCAUAACAACUUUAAACAUAAGUUUUAAGUUUGAACGAUGCAAUUGCAUCACUCAAAGAUGAUCCCGCGUUGUAUUAGCUAGUUGGUGAGGUAAAGGCUCACCAAGGCGAUGAUACAUAGCCGAACUGAGAGGGUGAGCGGCAACAUUGGGACGGAGACACGGCACAAAAGACUACGGGAGGAAGCAGUAGGGAAUCUUCGGCAAUGGGAGAAAGGCGGACCGAGGAACGCCGCGUGAGUGAAGAAGGGUGUCGGAUCGUAAAACUCGGUUGGUAGAGAAGAACGUUGGUGAGAGUGGAAAGCUCAUCAAGUGACGGUAACUACACAGAAAGAGACGGCUAACUACGUG
rnacentral:rRNA from 1 species